ensembl:lncRNA
UUUUUUGGGGGGGUGGGGGGAGAAUAUAUAUACAUAUAUAUAUAUUUACACACAUAUACGUCUGUAUAUGUGUGUGUGUAAAUUUCUGUUAUGUAGCUAAAAAAUAGCAGAGGGAUCAGGCUUUUCAAGUAUGUUGCUGCAGAAGGCCUGAUAUUUCACUGGUGCUAAUGUUUCUUUAGGUGAAGCUGCCAAGCUUUUAAAGCCAAACCCUGAGCUGACCAUCAAAGAGAAAAGAAAAGGGGGAAGAAAGAAAGGAGGGGGUGGGAAAGGGGGGGGCAAAUGCACAGCUACAGUGAUUCUGGUAGCCAUUGAGACCGAGGAAAGCCCAUACCUGAGAGUGAUUUAUGGUUUAAGAACAAGAAAAGCCCAUGUUUUCUGUCUCCAGAAGAUUCUUUAUGAAGUACGCUUAAUUUAAAUAGAUCAUAUAUUAAAAUAUCCCAGAGUUUAUCUCUAUACAUUCAUUCUGGGACUGCAGAGCCAAACUGUGUUAUCUCCUGCAGCAGCAUUACUGAAAUUACUGAAUGUUCUAAUUGUCAACUGAUGCCCUCCAAUGGGAUAAAAAGAUACAGCUCAGUGAGGCGUGUAACGAUUACAGCAACAAAUCACAAGGGGAGACUUGGGGCAUUGGCUGUCUCAGUUCCACAGGGUUAAUGAUGGAGGCUAGAAAUAAAAUGUAUUUUAAACACAGGAUAAACAGUUGCAAGUCCCUGAAACUAAUAGGGAGCAGAUUUACUGGGUAUAGUGCUGUUACUAUUUGUUAAUGCUAUAAUUACAGCUCCACAAUUUAAGUAUUUUUUUAUGUCUAUCUAGAUAAAUCUUUCUGUUGUUUUUUAUUUUGGUUUGGAAGUUAAGGAGGUUCUUUUCUUCCAUGUUUGCUGGCGGGUACUAACAACGGGGAUUUGUUCCUGCUGUUGUUUUGGGAUGUGGAUUAUACUUGGGGAUAUUUUUCAGAUGAAGCAGAUCAAAAGGGACAGCAACACAUGCCAGCGCAGAUGAGGACGGGGACGUUCUGCAGCAAGAAGCCACAAAGUCCGUAAAACAACGUGCUUCAGAUCAGAUCAGACUUCUUCAAAUGCCCUUCAUCACAGCAGCGCUGAGUGUUCUAGCUGGCAGCUCGCCUUGAGCUGCCUCUGAAAUCCAAGAGCUGGGCAGGGUCCUUGCAAUUGGGGCAGUUGGGUACAUCAGUACCCAAUCAAUGUACCCAAUCAGUACCUGUCAAUGGCAAAACCUAAAGCUACCUCUGAACUUCAGUGAACGUUACUGAGGUGUCAUAAAACGGAGAACACAAGUUAGUUAUCUUUGGAAUAGAGGUCUCCACCUGAUUUCCAUUUGCAGAUCUUUUUGGGCAGGGACAAGGAAGUACUACAGUCAUUCGUUAAUUCUUCUCAGCAUGUUCAUUUUUGUUUGCAAUGGACCUGUUGUAAUAUCGAUCUGUAUUCUUUAUCAGUGCAAGUGAAAGCCAGAACACUCCUGAAUAGCUUUGUUUUGAACUGUUUUCCAGUUCUGCUUUUGUAAUUUGUCAUCCGAAUUAUUCCAUCCAGCAAACACACGGCUAAAUGAGACAUAGCUGUGUGCCAGAGAUGGUGGCUAAGGAAAAAAAUACCGGAUGCAGUCAGCAUGGGUUAUAAUAAUGUAUUUGGUUAUACAUGAUUAUAACCGCGUGAUUUAAAUAUAUAUAUAUCAAAAGAAUCAGAGGCAGUAAAGACAAAAGCACCUCAAUACAACAUCAGGACCGCCACAGCGGCUGGGCGCACACCCUGUGGUAUACGUGGUUAUGAAAAGAGUGUGCACUGCGGGGCGUUCAAAGGCCCGAAGCGGUGCGAUGAGCACGGAGUGUACCUCCGGAGAUGGGGUGCCGUGCGCCUAGGAUGGGUUUUGGGCUCGGUCUCUGGCGGGGGCACGGAGCGCCGGCCGCUGCCUGCCGCCUCCCGGCCUGCCGGUCCUGGCCUUGAGGUACAGCGCCACCUGGAGGGCCGCGGGGGCGGCGUCAAGUCACGUCUGCGUCGCUCCCCUCAGCGUUCUGCCCGGCCGGAGGGGCCGGCGGCGUGCGCCGCUCUGCCUUCUCCGCCUCCCGCGAGGCCGCUCGGGGCCGUUCGGAAUCGCUCGCGGUCGUUCGGAAUCGCUCGGGCGACGCAGGGCGCGACGGGCGCUGUCCGUGGUGCCGAACGCUGCAGCUCCGAGGGGCUGCGGCGGCGGAGCUUCGUGACCCGGCGGCUUCCCCUCGGUGCUAAAGAACGAUGUUUGCUCCGGGGCUCGGUGUGGGAAGGUGGCACCUUUCAGUGAUGGAUGGCUUCUGAGGUCUUUGCGUGAUCUUUCGUUGAUUCCUUGCACUGCCUUCCUGCCACGGUUUCCUCUGAAAGUAUUUCCAUUUGUAGAGACAAUCAGCUACAAUUAUACUAAUAUUUCUCAUGCUCCACACUGUGCAAACGCUUUUCCCACUUGGCGGAAAGCACCUUUAAAAAUUAUCCCCUGGAAUAGAUGGUAGAAGGUCACGUCAUCCCAGGCGGCCAGCACCUCGGUGUGUCUGGAAGCUGCCUCUGCUGUUCUCGUUGGUUGUCCUCCGUGUCCACUUCCUAGACAGUAGGUCUGUUCGGCACAACAGUCGCCUUGGCCGCAUAAUGCCUCAGUCUGUCGCUCUCCUUUCCAUAAAGGAGUUGAAGUUCUGCCCUUCCCUUCGAGCCCCUCAGGAAGAACACGUCCCCGUUGCCCUGCACUCCUCAAGUGGCUGAAUCCUCCAGCCCCACCUGGCUGCUUCCCUCCUCCCCGUCUCAUUGUGGAUCCUUCCCAGCCCCUUACGUGUCAUCUCUGUGAGCAGAGUUUGGGCGUCUGCGUAGUUACCACAGCACAUCGGUACCUAGCACCGCGUCCACUGCCGCGACGUGUCAGCAAAGCAUUGCUUGGGAGGCGGGGUGGGGAAACGUGGGUUUGGGGCUGUCGGAGGUACAAUAACAAAUGUUCCGCGUUUUAGCAAAAGGGUGGUAGGUGUAAAGCGAUAAUCCAGCGGCAGCACUGGGGGAGUCACGGAGAUCCAGGUGUUCCCGGGCGGCCGGGAAGGCACAACGAGCGGUGGUGCCCGUGCCUCUGCCACCCUCUGGCGGAGGGAGAGAGGCGGUGGAGCGGUGCGCGGGGCGGGCCGGAGCCGGGGGCCGGAGGUCAGCCCGGUCGCCUCGCCUUCAUGCCGCUGCGCCCGGAGGCCUUGGGGCGAGCCGGUGCUGUCUAGGGAAAGCGGGAAGCGCCGCUGGCACCGGGACUUGCCCGGCGGCAAGCGCUGCGUGGGGGGCCGGGUGAGUCCCACCCU